UAGCCCAGCUCACCUUCCACUCAUGGCCAUGUUGUUACAGCUCACUCUGUGGACUUGUCGUUCUACUCCUGCUGCUCACGCUCACCUCAGCCUCUAACCACUCACCCUCCUGCUGCCCUCACCAGCCAGACUUGGUCGCUCAUCUUCACCUAUCUGUUCGCUGCCUGAAGCGCUCCUUUCAUUCCCUCAUCAUUCUUCUGUGCAAUAAAUCCAUUUUAGACUUUCAAAGUCUGUGUUUGGGUCCAGCUAAAAGCCAGACCCCAGACUGAUUCAUACAAUCAAUGUCGUUUGGUUAAUAGGCGAUUUCCUGAAUGCA